GGGUAUAGCUCAGUGGUAGAGUACAUGCUUAGCAUGCACGAGGUCCUGGGUUCAAUCCUCAGUACCUCCA
rnacentral:tRNA from 1 species